AUUUACAGUUUCUUUUGUUACUACUUACAGAUACAGGAAGUUCCUGACCUAUCUACAGAGUCUUUACAGUCGACGUGAGAGUUGGGCUCUCAGCUAUAGGAGGGACUUGCCAACACGUGGCAACCAAACAAAUAACUAUGUGGAGGCUGCAAUGCGUGUCUUGAAAGACAAAAUACUUCAAAGGACAAAAGCAUUCAACCUGCCUCAAUUAUUCAACCUUUUCAUCACCCGACUAGAGAUGUACUAUAAAGCACGUGUGACAGACGUUGCACUUGGCCAUUGGGAGGCAUUCCACCGGUCAAGAUUACUUGCUACACAAAGUAAUAUAAAAGCAUCUGAUAUUUCUCAGGUUGGAGAAAAGACAUUUCAGGUGAGAUCGUCCACAUCAGGGCACACCUAUACAGUGGACAUGGAGUUGGAGCUCUGCACUUGUCCAGUUGGCCAUAGUGGGGCACCAUGCAAACACCAGGCAGCAGUAGUGCAAAAUUACAACAUCACCUCCAUCAACUUUCUCCCCACAACAGCUGAAAUGAGGGCUAAGCUGCUGAAAAUAACAAAAGCCUCAGUUUCUCUUGACUUUCUAAACCCUUUACGGCAAAAUAUGCCAACGCCAAGCACAUUAGCUCCAGAGUCACAUCAGCUGGACCUGUCUUCCACCAGCUCUGCACAAUUGCGCCAAACAUCACCUAUGCAAGAGGACUCAUACUCCAACCAACCCUGUGUACAGGUUAACUCAGAGGGAGGUGAGACCAUGAAGCUUAGAGUUAUAUUAAAAAUUCUGUCUAGAUGUUUAUUUGGGCCAAGCACCUUUUUCUAAGUUUUCCCCCCCAAUGUUUCGGGGCAUUUUGGGGUCCUUAAAGGGAUAGUUCACCCUAAAAUGGUUAUUGGUUGGUAAUCAAACAGUUGCUGGUAGCCAUCGACUUCCAUAAUACUUUUCCCAUGCUAUGUAAGUUUGGAACAACAUUAUGGUGAGUAAAUGAUGACAGAUCUUUUUUUUUAUUUAUUUUUUUUAC
rnacentral:lncRNA from 1 species